CCUACGGGUGGCAGCAGUGAGGAAUAGUGGUCAAUAGGCGCGAGCCUGAACCAGCCAAGUAGCGUGAAGGAUGACUGCCCUACGGGGUGUAAACUUCUUUUAUAAAGGAAUAAAGUGAGGCACGUGUGCCUUUUUGUAUGUACUUUAUGAAUAAGGAUCGGCUAACUCCGUGCCAGCAGCCGCGGUAAUACGGAGGAUCCGAGCGUUAUCCGGAUUUAUUGGGUUUAAAGGGAGCGUAGAGGGGUUGUUAAGUCAGUUGUGAAAGUUUGCGGCUCAACCGUAAAAUUGCAAUUGAUACUGGCAGCCUUGCGUACAGUUGAGGUCGGCGGACUUCGUGGUGUCGCGG
rnacentral:rRNA from 1 species